CGUCUAUAUACGUAUAGCAUAUCAAUAAGCGGAGGAAAAGAAACUAACUAGGAUUCCCCUAGUAACGGCGAGUGAAGCGGGAAGAGCUCAAAUUUGAAAUCUUCAAGGUUUUACCUUGACGAAUUGUAGUUUAAAGAAGUGUUUUCUGUUAGAGGAGUGGUAAAAGUUCUUUGGAAUAGGACAUCAUAGAGGGUGAGAAUCCCGUAUUUGACCAUUCUUUCUAGCUUUGUGAUACACUUUCAAAGAGUCGGAUUGUUUGGGAAUGCAGUCCAAAAUGGGUGGUAAAUUUCAUCUAAAGCUAAAUAUUGGCGAGAGACCGAUAGCGAACAAGUACCGUGAGGGAAAGAUGAAAAGAACUUUGAAAAGGAGAGUUAAACAGUACGUGAAAUUGUCAAAAGGGAAGCGUUUGACACCAGUGUUGUUUUUCCGAAAAUCAAUUAAAAAAGGCCGGAUUUUGUGUUGUAUUGACUUUAUCAGCUUUCUGCACUUUUUUCUUGUCUUUUUUAAUGCACUUUUCGUUUAACAAGUCAACAUCAAUUUCUUUUGUUGUAAAAGGGGUCAUUGGAAGGUGGCUUUCUUUUCGGAGAAAGUGUUUAUAGCCUUUGGCCUCUGCAAUCGGAGAGAUUGAGGUCUGCAGCGUAGAUCCUUCGGGGUUAGAUACAUUUGUGCUAAGUUAUAGCCUUUCAUAGACAACUUGUUGACUAUGAUUUAGUCAUUGUAGCUUACUCGCUUAUGCUAUUUUACCUACGCUUAGGAUGUUGACUGAUAUGUAGUCGUA
rnacentral:rRNA from 1 species